UGGGGAAUUUUGGACGAAUUGGGCGAAAGCCUGAUCCAGCAAUGCCGCGUGUGUGAAGAAGGCCUUCGGGUUGUAAAGCACUUUUGCCCGGAAAGAAAUCCUUGGCUCUAAUACAGUCGGGGGAUGACGGUACCGGAAGAAUAAGCACCGGCUAACUACGUGCCAGCAGCCGCGGUAAUACGUAGGGUGCAAGCGUUAAUCGGAAUUACUGGGCGUAAAGCGUGCGCAGGCGGUUUGCUAAGACCGAUGUGAAAUCCCCGGGCUCAACCUGGGAACUGCAUUGGUGACUGGCAGGCUAGAGUAUGGCAGAGGGGGGUAGAAUUCCACGUGUAGCAGUGAAAUGCGUAGAGAUGUGGAGGAAUACCGAUGGCGAAGGCAGCCCCCUGGCAAGUACUGACGCUCAUGCACGAAAAGCGUGGGGGAGC
rnacentral:rRNA from 1 species